UAUCGAACCUGCCCCCUUCAGGUAAUAGCCCAGAGAAAUUUGGAUUAAUGCCCCAUGGUACCACGGAUCGCAUGACUAUGUGGUUAAAGAUUUAUCGGAAGGGGAUGGCGGUGCGUAUCAUUAGCUUGUUGGUAAGGUAACGGCUUACCAAGGCAACGAUGAUUAGGGGCCCUGAGAGGGGGAUCCCCCACACUGGUACUGAGACACGGACCAGACUCCUACGGGAGGCAGCAGUGAGGAAUAUUGGACAAUGGCCGGAAGUUGAUCCAGCCAUGCCGCGUGCGGAUGACGGCCCUAUGGGUUGUAAACCGCUUUUGUACGGGAAGAAACCCCGCCACGUGUGGGCUGACGGUACCGUAAGAAUAAGGACCGGCUAACUCCGUGCCAGCAGCCGCGGUAAUACGGAGGGUCCGAGCGUUAUCCGGAAUCAUUGGGUUUAAAGGGUCCGCAGCGGGCCUGUAAGUCAGGGGUGAAAGGCCACGGCUCAACCGUGGACUGCCCUUGAUACUGCAGGUCUUGAGUCAUGGUGAGGUUGCCGGAACAUGUGGUGUAGCGGUGAAAUGCAUAGAUAUCACAUAGAACACCGAUCGCGAAGCAGGUGGCCAACCAUGGACUGACGCUGAUGGACGAAAGCGUGGGGAGCGAACGGGAUUAGAUACCCCGGUAGUCCACGCCGUAAACGAUGG
rnacentral:rRNA from 1 species